UACGUAGGGGGCUAGCGUUGUCCGGAAUCAUUGGGCGUAAAGAGCGUGUAGGCGGCCCGGUAAGUCCGCUGUGAAAGUCGGGGGCUCAACCCUCGGAUGCCGGUGGAUACUGUCGGGCUUGAGUACGGAAGAGGCGAGUGGAAUUCCUGGUGUAGCGGUGAAAUGCGCAGAUAUCAGGAGGAACACCAAUUGCGAAGGCAGCUCGCUGGGACGUUACUGACGCUGAGGAGCGAAAGCGUGGGGAGCGAACAGG
rnacentral:rRNA from 1 species